rnacentral:lncRNA from 1 species
GUUCAAUAUAUAAUGAAUACUAGAUAUAAACUGAAAAAUAACUUUACCAAGAGAAAGAAAUUGUUAUACUUUGAAAAUAUUUAGAUUGCGGAUCAAAGGUGAAGAAUGUGCAUAUUGUUUCUUGAGGAAAUUUAUAUCAAAUUUAUCGUUUAUUGACUAAACCUUUACUUUCAAACCUGAAAAGAAUACAUGUAGGCCAAUCAAACGAAUCUAAUUGAAACGUAUUGCAUACCAAUCGAUUGAUGGAUCAAAUGGUGACUCCAGC